rnacentral:rRNA from 1 species
AAUUUUGUACAAUGGGGGAAACCCUGAUCCAGCCAUCCCGCGUGUAUGAUGAAGGCCNNNGGUUUNUAAAGUACGUUUUGCAGNGACNAAUAGGCAUCCCCUAAUACGGGAUGCUGCUGACGGUAUCUGCAGAAUAAGCACCUGCUAACUACGUGCCAGCAGCCGCGGUACUACGUAGGGUGCAAGCGUUAAUCGGAAUUACUGGGCGUAAAGCAUGUGUAGGCGGUUCGGAAAGAAAGAUGUGAAAUACCAGGGCUCAACCUUGGAACUGCAUUUUUAACUGCCGAGCUAGAGUAAGUCAGAGGGGGGUAGAAUUCCACGUGUAGCAGUGAAAUGCGUAGAUAUGUGGAGGAAUACCGAUGGCGAAGGCAGCCCCCUGGGAUAAUACUGACGCUCAGACACGAAAGCGUGGGGAGCAAACAGG